AAACGACUCUCGGCAACGGAUAUCCCGGCUCUCGCAUCGAUGAAGAACGUAGCGAAAUGCGAUACUUGGUGUGAAUUGCAGGAUCCCGUGAACCAUCGAGUUUUUGAACGCAAGUUGCGCCCGAUGCCAUUAGGCUGAGGGCACGUCUGCCUGGGUGUCACGU
rnacentral:rRNA from 1 species